GAAGACGUAGUGCGCGUGCCCGCCCAGAGCACAAAGUAGGCCUUCAGAAGAAAGAGUGUAACCACAGUCAUCAUACUUGUUAUCAAGGAGUUUGAGGUUUUUUUCAAGCCGACUGAGGCAAAUAUUGUGUGGGCUGUACUGAGCUUCCUUACUGCUGCCCCUCUGGUCUCCGGCAGAUCACGUUUCUGUUUCUCAUGCGUAAUUGGAAACAUAUACGCUCUCGUAGCUCGGACAGCUUGGUCUCUUUGCAAGGUAGCCAUUAACAUGGGAGGAGAGUGAGCCAGCUGUCUUUACUAGUCCUAGUCCAACUACAAAGCCGGCCUUCUCCGCUGGGGUAUCUUUAGUUCGGGUUAUUCUGAGAGGGGGUCGAGGGUGACUGGCAGGAGGCGAAGAGUCUGCUGGAGCAGCAUCUCAGCACCUGUAGUCAGAAACAUUGGUUCUUCAUCAAAGGCGAAAGAAUGGAAAGCAUGUCGAAACCUCGGUCCAUUGAUGAUUGCAACAUAACCCAACCAGUUCCUGCAAGUAAAGAUGAACCUGUUGUGAUCCCUGUGGAGAAGACUUCUACCACUAUGAAGCAGGCCAGAAGACGACAGCGCAUUGACAGUGGGAACAGAAGCCUUACAUGCGAUCAGUGUGGAAAGGCUUUUACUUGUAAUAGCAGUUUAAAAAAACAUCAGCUCAUGCACACUGGAUUUAAACCAUUCAGCUGUGAUCGGUGUGGAAAGGCUUUCACUCACAAUGCCAGCUUAAAAAUACAUCAGCUUGUCCACACUGGCAUUAAACCAUUCAGCUGUGAUCAGUGUGGAAGGGGUUUCACUCAGAGUAGCGGCUUAAAAAAACAUCAGCUCAUCCACACUGGAUUUAAACCAUUCAGCUGUGAUCUGUGUGGAAUGUCUUUUUCUGACAAUGGCAAAUUAAAAAGACAUCAACUCGUUCACACUGGCAUUAAACCAUUCAGUUGCGAUCAGUGUGGACAGGCUUUCACUCAUAAUAGCAAGUUAAAAAAACAUCAGCUCAUCCACACUGGAUUAAAAGCAUUCAGCUGUGAUCAGUGUGGAAUGUCUUUUACUGUAAAUGGCAAUUUAAAACAACAUCAGCUCGCUCACACUGGAUUUAAACCAUUCAGCUGUGAUCAAUGUGACAGGGCUUUCACUCAGAGUGGCAG